rnacentral:rRNA from 1 species
GACGAACGCUGGCGGCGUGCUUAACACAUGCAAGUCGAACGGAAAGGCCCUGCUUGCAGGGUACUCGAGUGGCGAACGGGUGAGUAACACGUGGGUGAUCUGCCCUGCACUUCGGGAUAAGCCUGGGAAACUGGGUCUAAUACCGGAUAGGAGCCAUUUUUAGUGUGAUGGUUGGAAAGUUUUUUCGGUGUAGGAUGAGCUCGCGGCCUAUCAGCUUGUUGGUGGGGUAAUGGCCUACCAAGGCGGCGACGGGUAGCCGGCCUGAGAGGGUGGACGGCCACAUUGGGACUGAGAUACGGCCCAGACGCCUACGGGAGGCAGCAGGGGGGAAUAUUGCACAAUGGGCGCAAGCCUGAUGCAGCGACGCCGCGUGGGGGAUGACGGCCUUCGGGUUGUAAAAUCCUUUCGCUAGGGACGAAGCUUUUUGUGACGGUACCUAGAUAAGAAGCACCGGCUAACUACGUG